rnacentral:rRNA from 1 species
AAAGAUUAAGCCAUGCAUGUCUAAGUAUAAGCAAUUGUACUGCGAAACUGCGAAUGGCUCAUUAUAUAAGUUAUCGUUUAUUUGAUAGUGCCCUACUACUUGGAUAACUGUGGUAAUUCUAGAGCUAAUACAUGCUACAAAUCCCGACUUCGGAAGGGAUGUAUUUAUUGGAUUAAAAACCAAUGCCCCCUNGGGCUCUCUGGUGACUCACGAUAACUGCUCGAAUCGCACGGCCCUGCGCCGGCGAUGGUUCAUUCAAAUUUCUUCCCUAUCAACUUUCGAUGUUUGGGUAGUGGCCAAACAUGGUUGCAACGGGUAACGGAGGGUUAGGGCUCGACCCCGGAGAAGGAGCCUGAGAAACGGCUACUACAUCCAAGGAAGGCAGCAGGCGCGCAAAUUACCCAAUCCCGACACGGGGAGGUAGUGACAAUAAAUACCGAUACAGGGCUCUUUUGGGUCUUGUAAUUGGAAUGAGUACAAUUUAAAUCCCUUAACGAGGAACAAUUGGAGGGCAAGUCUGGUGCCAGCAGCCGCGGUAAUUCCAGCUCCAAUAGCGUAUAUNNNNNNNNNNNNNNNNNNNNNNNNNNNNNNNNNNNNUUGGGCCUGGCUGGCCGGUCCGCCUCACCGCGUGUACUGGUCCGGCCGGGCCUUUCCCUCUGUGGAACCCCAUGCCCUUCGCUGGGCGUGGCGGGGAAACAGGACUUUUACUUUGAAAAAAUUAGAGUGCUCCAGGCAGGCCUAUGCUCGAAUACAUUAGCAUGGAAUAAUGAAAUAGGACNUCUGGUUCUAUUUUGUUGGUUUCUAGGACCGCCGUAAUGAUUAAUAGGGACAGUCGGGGGCAUCAGUAUUCAAUUGUCAGAGGUGAAAUUCUUGGAUUUAUUGAAGACUAACUACUGCGAAAGCAUUUGCCAAGGAUGUUUUCAUUAAUCAGGAACGAAAGUUAGGGGAUCGAAGACGAUCAGAUACCGUCGUAGUCUUAACCAUAAACUAUGCCGACUAGGGAUCGGACGAUGUUAUCUUUUGACUCGUUCGGCACCUUACGAGAAAUCAA